rnacentral:rRNA from 1 species
GUAUAAGAGACAGCAGCAGCCGCGGUAAAACGGAGGAUCCAAGCGUUAUCCGGAAUCAUUGGGUUUAAAGGGUCCGUAGGCGGUCUUGUAAGUCAGUGGUGAAAGCCCAUCGCUCAACGGUGGAACGGCCAUUGAUACUGCAGGACUUGAAUUAUUGGGAAGUAACUAGAAUAUGUAGUGUAGCGGUGAAAUGCUUAGAGAUUACAUGGAAUACCAAUUGCGAAGGCAGGUUACUACCAAUUGAUUGACGCUGAUGGACGAAAGCGUGGGUAGCGAACAGGAUUAGAUACCCCUGUAGUCCCUGUCUCUUAUAC